GUCCUUCAGCCAGCAGCAAGCCCUCCGGUCCCCAUGGUAAUCAUGGCAGAGAACCACCAGCACCUCCUGUGGACUAGAGAUUCCAGAUUCUUUAGUCCGAUGAGGGGGGGGGCUGAUCUACACAGCCACUUGGAUAACAAGGUGUUUCUACAACGUGUUACAAAAGAGGAAGCAAAUAGAGAAAGUUGUGGUGAAAGUGGUGAAAGUGCUGAAUUGUUGGAGUCUACAUUUUCCCGGAUUUAUAUAUCUCUGUCUUCAAUUUUUUUUCUUCUUAUUAUUAUAUUUUUAUUAUAAAGCAUUAUUAGGUAUUUACCAAGUUGUUAAAAUGACAUAUAGGCCUUUAUAAUGACAUUUGCCCUAGAUCAGCCUGAAUAUGAAUUGUGAUCUAAAGGAAAGGUUACCUAGAAAUUGGGUGUCGUCAAAAGAUUUGGGUUAUUUUUGAGUAGACUGAGGUGAAGAGGAAAAUGUUUCUUGUCCUGUGGUAGCCAAUACAUUCCAAAGCUAUGAUGGCUUCACAGACAUGAUGCCAUUGGUCCAUGGAGGAGAAUGAGCCUUGACUCUGCAUUGAGUCAUGACUUAAGGUUGACCAAGACCACUUCUUAAGUAAAAUUUUUGUGCAAGAGGAAAUGAUGAAAUGGGCGUAUUCCAGUUGGCUCUUAUUACUUUUGACGUCAUGGCUGUGUGGAUGUUGUCAUGGUCUGGGAUCUGUUGACCACCGAGAGGGUGGCUGAUCUAAAGCAGACCUCUCCACCCUGAAGACUUUGACAAUCUAUUUACCCUUUGUGCAUAAAAAUCGCUAGAGCAAUUGCUAGCAUAGCUACUUGAAUGCCAUUCUUUGGUCUCAGUUUUUUUUGCAUUUGCUCAGGAAUCAUUAUGUAGCUAUACUAACUAAAACAGUCAAAUGGUAUGGGUAGCUGUCAAAUUUCAGUGGUGAAAAUCUAAAAACAAUGUAAUCUUUCAAAAUAAGAAGAUAAAUUGGGUACUAAGGAAUUUUGGGAAUAUUUGUGAAGAGUGAGAUUGCCUUUUAUUUUACGCUUAAAGGCAAAUCUUCGAACGGUAGCACUUUGGUUGUGGCACCUUUACAGAUGUGUACAGAAUGCAAAGCUCCAGAAAAACACUUAAGCGAGGAUGUAAAUCUGCCCCAUUUCAAGUUUGGUGUAACUUACUCAAACGGCCUGUCUCAUCGGAUCUGUGAGAAUGUUAGAAUGUCUUGCACAACUUGGUGCAGUUGGCUGGACUAAUGAUUUCUGGGUAGAUCAGUUAAGGUGGUGGUGGUGGUGUUGAUUUCAGGGCAUGUAAAUUCUGUCUAUGUAUGUACACCGUUCUAAUGAAACUGCUCUAUGACAAAGGGCUUGAUCUAUGCACUUUUGGUUACUACAAAUAAAUACGGACAAUAGCA